rnacentral:lncRNA from 1 species
GUUUCGCAGAUCACAAAGAAAGGACUGAUUUUGUCCUAUGAUAGAGAAAGCUGCAAAAUCUUCAAAGAUGGAGAGCUGUAUCUUUCUGCCAGAGAGAAAGAUGAACUGUAUUUGUUGAUUUUUGAUCAAAGUGAUUGCAUAAAUUGUAAUGCAUCUGAGUCCAACAUGAUUUCUCUUGCAGGUAUGACGAAGGACGUCCAGAAGGCGACGAAAGUAACUAAAGCUUUUCAGCGAGUAUAUGCUGAUGUGAUUGGUCCUCUAGCACCAUCUAGAGGCAAUGCAAGAUAUUAUCUUGUGUGUGUGGAUUAUUUCUCUCAUUAUGUGUGGUUAUACAUAUUGCAGAAACCACAAGAAGCCUUAGAAAGGUUUAAAGAGUUUUGUGACAAAGUUAAAAAUGUUUAUGAUGCUAACAUUGAUUGUCUUUUCACAGAUGAAAAGCCAGCUUUUCUUUUACAAGAUUUUCAGGAUUUCCUGGAUAAGCAAGGCAUAAGGCACAAGACUGCUGUUUCUGCAGGAGCAUGGGACAAAAGUGGCUGUGUGCAAGUGAACAAAGAAUUGCAAAAUGGGAUGAAGGCGCAAUUGCUGAGUUCACAUUUGCCACAUGAGUAUUGGGCUGAAUCUUUAUUGUGUUUUUGUUACACUUGGUUGAGAAAGGUUUCAAAAGGUUUGGGAAGUUCUCCUUUUGAAAAGCUAUUUCAUAGAAAACCUUCUGUUGCCCAUUUUAAGGUUUUUGGGUCUCAUGUGAAAUCUGAUGCUCCAGGUGGAGUAAAGAAUGCUAGAGGCAUUUUUGUGGGUUAUGAAAAGGGUCUCUACAGAGUACUUUUGUCUGAAUCUGGCCAGGUGAUUCUCACAAAAUUUCUAGAGAGUGCUCCUGAACAGGAGAGAGUAAUUGUUCACACUUUUCCCACUGAGGACAAUUCAGAUGAUGAUGAUGAUUUUACUGAUUACAGUGGUACUGAGAGUAACAGUGAUAGCUCGAAGAGCUCAGUUGACACAGUCAUUGAGAGGAAAUCUCACACAAUGGCUAGACCUUCACAGGUGAAGGAUGAACCACUGUUUUCUAUUGGAACUGGUUCUCCAAAGAAUCCUGAGACUGAACCAGUGAGCAGAGAGGAUCAGCACCUCAUACGCAGGUCCGAGAGAGUUACAAAGGGUGUACCACCCAAGAGGUAUUCUAAAGAGUUUGCUAACUCAGCUGUUGCAUGUGUUACUAUUGUUGACAACUCAAGACAGGUUGAAGCUGUGUCUAAGUCAGAGACAAAGACACAACAGGGAGUUGCUAAGCGUAACACUACAUUCCCUAGCCAAGGUAAUGCAGAUGCACUCAUUCCUUGGAAGUCAGACAACCAGAGAGGUACACUGGGGAAACCAGUGGCGGGUAGUUCCAAGGGUGGAACUGAAACAACAGGGGAUUGUUAUAUGUAUAACAACUGUUUUCUUCUCUGGAUCAAGCUAUGUUCACAGUGCACAUUGAUUCA